rfam:Burkholderiales bacterium 70-64 SCNpilot_expt_1000_bf_scaffold_430, whole genome shotgun sequence.
AGGCUGGUCCCAUGUCCGUCGGCGAUGCCGACAACAUGCCCAGGUAGCCCAGACCUUCGAGGCUACGGUGCGUUGCUACGCACAGGUCGUUUUCUCUCCACGCCACCGGCGUUUUCCUUCCAUCCCCCAAGGGCAGCGACUGCCCUGCGGGC